GACAGAGGGGGCAAGCGUUGUUCGGAAUUACUGGGCGUAAAGGGCGCGUAGGCGGCCUGUUAAGUCGAACGUGAAAUCCCCGGGCUCAACCCGGGAACUGCGUCCGAUACUGGCAGGCUUGAAUCCGGGAGAGGGAUGCGGAAUUCCAGGUGUAGCGGUGAAAUGCGUAGAUAUCAGGAGGAACACCGAUGGCGAAGGCAGGUCUCUGGGCCACUACUGACGCUGAGAAGCGAAAGCAUGGGGAGCGAACAGG
rnacentral:rRNA from 1 species